UACGGAGGGGGCUAGCGUUGGUCGGAAUUACUGGGCGUAAAGCGCACGUAGGCGGCUUUGUAAGUUAGAGGUGAAAGCCCGGAGCUCAACUCCGGAACUGCCUUUAAGACUGCAUCGCUCGAACGUCGGAGAGGUAAGUGGAAUUCCGAGUGUAGAGGUGAAAUUCGUAGAUAUUCGGAAGAACACCAGUGGCGAAGGCGACUUACUGGACGACUGUUGACGCUGAGGUGCGAAAGCGUGGGGAGCAAACAGG
rnacentral:rRNA from 1 species